rnacentral:rRNA from 1 species
GACGAACGCUGGCGGCGUGGAUUAGGCAUGCAAGUCGAACGGUAUGGACCUUUCGGGGUUCAGAGAGUGGCGAACGGGUGAGUAACACGUAGGUAAUCUACCCUCAAGACGGGGACAACCCAGGGAAACUUGGGCUAAUACCGGAUGUGUGUAGUGGCUAUUUUUCUGAUUAUCAUUAUUUACGUAAGUGAGUAAUAAUAAGAAGGGAAAGUGGUUAUUACAUAAAAGGUGGCGUAAGCUGCCGCUUGGGGAUGAGCCUGCGUCCUAUUAGUUAGUUGGUGAGGUAACGGCUUACCAAGGCGAUGAUAGGUAGGCGGCCUUAACGGGUGGUCGCCCACACUGGGAUUGAGAUACGGCCCAGACUCCUACGGGAGGCAGCAGUCGAGAAUAGUCUACAAUGGACGGAAGUCUGAUAGUGCGACGCCGCGUGAACGAAGAAUCCCUUCGGGGUGUAAAGUUCUUUUAUACGUGAGCAGUGUCCUUUAUAUUAAUAGUAUAAGGGGAGAGAUAUUAGCGUAUGAAUAAGCAACGG